UCAACAGUAAGGCACGGUAGUAGCUGUUUAGUGAAAAUGUGUGAAUAAUCCUCGAGUGAGGUUCAGAUUGCAGGAGCACACUGGCAUCCUGGUCUAAUGUUGUUGCUGUAAUGUAAAACUAAGACACAGAACAUCAAACAGGAGUUUUCAUCACUGAGGUCAAAUGGAAAUACAGGAUUUGGUGCUACGCAUAAUGCAGACUUGCCUAAGCAAAGAAGAAAUCAAGAUUUAUGCUAAAAGACUUGAUAAACUUGCCAGGACUUUGAAGGGAAAAAAAAAAAAGCUGUGACAGACUACUUAGUAAUGCAAUCUUGUGUGUUACAAAUCUUUGUGUGAACAAAUGUGACUGUGAUGCUAGAUAAAAAACGCAACCCAUGUCUUCUGUUUCCCCAAGGAGGUAAACCUGUCUUUAGUUUAACCUGGGCGAAUGUUAGAGGAGCAGUGCCUCAAAUAAGCCAGCAAAAAGGAUGGAGCCUUGGUGCUGGCCUGGGGCCUCAUUAUUUACAUACAGCAUUAAGAGUCUUUACGGAAAAGUCAACUGAAAGACUUUUCUGAUAUGUCUUCAACAGUGGAAAUUCUGGACUUUUAUUUGAAAUUAACUAUUACUGCAAUCAAUUGAUACAAACUUUUUUCAGACUCUCAAAAUGUGAAAAUGAUGUACCCAAGACUAAAGACAGUUGCAUUAUUUACCGUGUUUUAGAGUAAGAGAUGAUUCAAGUAACAAGAUGGCAAUCAAUGCAUCUUCCUCAAGUACUUUCUUUCUUAAACUUAGUUUAGUAUGAGCCUUAGACAGUGAAAUCCUAAGAGAUUAAUAUAAGCAUGUCAGAAAUGAAAAAUAUUGCAGACAUGAAUGCAGUAUGUAUUGCCCUGUUUCAAGCACUUCUGUAAAUCAAAAGUUAACACUGGACUGGUUUUUUUUCCAUACUUCAGCUGUGUAAGCUUCCCACAAAUUCUGUGCAGUUACAUUUGUCACUCACAAAGUACAUACUAUUAUGCAUGACUUCCUUGGGCUAUGAAAGCAUUGGAACUUGGCAUAUUAUCUACUGUUAAUACUUUUUUUUGCUUGCAUAAUACAAAGCUGUAGUAAUUUAAAUCCCAUUUUUGUUUUUCUAGACAGCUUUAAUAGUGAUAAUUGCUUCUUAAAUCACUGGGGUUUUGCCUGGCAUCAAUAUAUAAAAUAAAUGGUAUUCAUAAAUGGUAAAUAAGAUUCUUUACACUUGAACUUUUCAAAACUUGAGUGUCUUGUCUAGAUUUUUAUUUAACAAGCUCUUGAACAGGUUGGCACAAUUUCUAUUUGGAAUGUAGAUGUGUUUCCUUUACUAUGAAAGGUAGGACAUACAGAAUUUUUAGUGCAGAUGGUGAUAAUGUUGACCCAUGAAAAGAAUCUCUUCUCACUCUGCGACUUGCAAGAUAGUAGCCCUGAAUGAGGUUUUCUGCUUCUGAACUCAGUUCAACAUGAAGAUUCCUAGCAAAGAAAAUAAACUAGAGAGAGGGUAUAAAUUUUAAAUAUUUAACUGGAAAAUAAAUAAUUUACAUUUUUCACACCUUUUAACAUACCAGUGGCAUAGUAAUACAGUUUGGACAAUAUAUUCCACCAAUAGUUUUUAUAAAGACAGCUGUCACCAUUCAGCUAUGCAUAAGGAUAGAUCUCAGAUACUAAACAGAAUCAUCUGUUAGUUAUACUAGAGAUAUUGACAGUUUAUUUAGAAUGGAAUGUUAACUUUUACUACUGAUGGUAAACUGUUCUGGUCAAAAGUAGGUAUUGGAGAUCUGUUCUCAUAUGAAUGUUAACCUAAUAUGUUUUUCAGAAACAAGAUCAAACAAUUUAUUCUGGCCCUUUUGAAGAACUGAAGCUAAUUUUAUAAUGAUCCUGUUAGUGCUAGUGGGAAUAUGGUGGGGGGAAAGGGUAGAAAGUUAGCAUUAACAGGUUUAAAAAUAAGUAAUCAGAAUGUGCGGAGAGAACCUUCUGAUUCCAGAAAUAGUAUGAUAUUCCUAAAUAUAAUGCAUUUCUAAAUUAUUGGGUAGUAUCCGUUACCUCUUCAUAAUCCUGCAUUCUGAACUGCUGUGAGACUUUGUACAGCAUGACUUCAGGAUUAAUGGCUUUUUCCAAGAUAUGAUGUACAAGAGAAGAAGAUAGUUGGCAUGAAGGAAACUCACUGUAUAUCAAAAGCCCAAAACUAUCUAGAAGGUUAGGUGGAAUCAAACUCACAUCCUAAAGAGAAGACACAGAGAAAGAAAACAAUUACUUUAUUUCAGCCUUUUGACUUGUAGAAACAUCACAGUUUUUUCAGUCUGAAGUGUUCAAUAUCCAUAUAUACUCAGUCCUGCAACAUUAUCUAAUGAAUUACCUAUAAUGUAUGCCAUAAAAUUUUGUUUCAACAGUAGUCGUCAAGCUGUUCUGAAUAAAAUAAAGGAUACCUGCUUUUGGGAAAGCUA